rnacentral:rRNA from 1 species
GGGUGAGUAACACGUGGGUAACCUACCUAUAAGACUGGGAUAACUUCGGGAAACCGGAGCUAAUACCGGAUAAUAUUUCGAACCGCAUGGUUCGAUAGUGAAAGAUGGCUCUGCUAUCACUUAUAGAUGGACCUGCGCCGUAUUAGCUAGUUGGUAAGGUAACGGCUUACCAAGGCAACGAUACGUAGCCGACCUGAGAGGGUGAUCGGCCACACUGGAACUGAGACACGGUCCAGACUCCUACGGGAGGCAGCAGUAGGGAAUCUUCCGCAAUGGGCGAAAGCCUGACGGAGCAACGCCGCGUGAGUGAUGAAGGUCUUCGGAUCGUAAAACUCUGUUAUUAGGGAAGAACAAACGUGUAAGUAACUGUGCACGUCUUGACGGUACCUAAUCAGAAAGCCACGGCUAACUACGUGCCAGCAGCCGCGGUAAUACGUAGGUGGCAAGCGUUAUCCGGAAUUAUUGGGCGUAAAGCGCGCGUAGGCGGUUUUUUAAGUCUGAUGUGAAAGCCCACGGCUCAACCGUGGAGGGUCAUUGGAAACUGGAAAACUUGAGUGCAGAAGAGGAAAGUGGAAUUCCAUGUGUAGCGGUGAAAUGCGCAGAGAUAUGGAGGAACACCAGUGGCGAAGGCGACUUUCUGGUCUGUAACUGACGCUGAUGUGCGAAAGCGUGGGGAUCAAACAGGAUUAGAUACCCUGGUAGUCCACGCCGUAAACGAUGAGUGCUAAGUG